ensembl:lncRNA
UUUACAUGCUCCUAUGUAAAUAUGUAGAUAAGGGAAGAUCAGAGGAUUUUGCCUUGCACUGGAAGCAGAAGAUACAAAGGUCUGCCAAAGGCUCAUUAAUCCACAACUGAUCCUGAGGUUUCCAACUUAUCCUCUGUUGCUUUGUCAUAUGAAGCCUUACACAGGGCACUUGGAGUGCAGAAGGAGUAUGCCCUGGAUGCCAGCCAAAUGAAAGAAGACAGCUGAGGGGAAUUCCAGCUGUUACAGGGAAUGAUGCUGUAGAAGGACUGCUUAUUUUGGAGCAUUUCUAUUCCAGUGGUGCAAUGGCGAGUAAAUCAACAGGUUUCAACAAUCUGUAUUUGUUAGUCUAGCCCAGCAGUGACAGGUGGGUAAACUGCAUUUCUCAUUGACCUGUCGGUUCCUGCUCUGCUCCCUCCUAUACACAAUGGUGUUGCAUCUCAAGUAAACAGAAAAUUUAAACACUGAAAAGCAAACAAGUCAGUGCCAUUGCAGGUGGGAGGCAUUACUGGUCCAGACAGCUACAGACAGUGGCUUUUUUUGGCUCUGUUUCUCUGUGAAUUGAAUCCAGGGUGCUUAACACGUAUGGAGUUACCCACAAGUUUACAGUAUGUGGGCAGCAAAUGACAACCUGCUGCUGUAUUUUAUUGCUGCUAUAUUUUAUUACUGCUGUGUGCUCUGUAUUUUCUCCAUGGUAUCUACUUUAACCUAAUAAUAGCUAUUAAAUCAUAAUACCGUCAGGUAACAAGACCUUUUUAGAAGGCUGAAUGGAAUGGCAAUUUGGCAUAAUAUGGAUGACUCUCCUAAAGUUGUUUCUUUUUCUCUUCUUACUCCACUGGGAAAUGUCCAUUAAUGGACCUGCCACAGAGAAAUAAAUUGAGAAUAAAGAAAUGUGUCUCAUCUCAAGAUGAUACGAAAAAGAUUUCUGAAGUUAUCUUAAGGCAGAGGUCCUGUCCUUGUCCCUGGAGCUCUCUUGGCAGGAGGCUGGCUGUACUGAAGAAGAUAACAGGAUUGCAAAGGGUUGCCCUCACAAUAAAGAAAAGGACUGGAGAGGUCAGGGAAGAGCUGACAAUGACACUAGAGCUCUUCUGUUCCACCGACUUCCACGAAUUUCUUCCUGUCCCAGAACUUUGCAGGUGUGGGAGAUGGAAGGGAGGUUUUACAAAUUGAGAGUGAUUCCUCUCAUAUCAUAUUUGGUAAUACAUCUACAUUUCCUUCUGGUGAUUUUGUUCAAAGGAGAUAUCCUGUGGUAUAUUUAUCUGUAACUUUCUUGCCUAUAUUUCCUCUAUUGACAGAAGAAAUAAAGUCAUACAGUCGACUUACCAUAUGUCAUUGGCUAAUGACCUUUGACUGGCAUCCUUACUCCAGGGAAAAAAAGAACUUUGUUAUGCAAAGUACAUGGUUUAUAAUCUCCUGUUUCUCCCUUGACACUUCUCUUCAGGAUCUCUCCUAUGAGAAAAAAAUCCAAUUGCCGCUGCUUGAUUUUUCUCCUGCUUCUCAGAUGUUAUUUUUCUAAGAAUUCCUAGCUAUGAGUCUGUCAAAAAAGCCUGUAGCUGAUGGCAUUUUGCCUCAUCUGUCACAACUCUGUAUGCUCUGAUAAAUUAGCUGUAUUGGAUUGCAGAUUUAAAUUGGAAAGUAGUACAGAAUAAUAAGUUAUUUUAUUUGUUUCUUCCUUUUGAUCUUGGAUUGCUAGUUUAUAAUCUACUCUGCACCUAGUGAUCUGAGCAUUCAUUUUUGCUAAAAGUAGCUAUCUAUUUCAAAGUUGUGGGUUGAUUCCAAUGUUGAAUAUCAAGCCAGAUAGUGGGCAGGAGAAGAAACAAAUUAAUUCCCUGUUUUAUUUUGAAGCGAUACUCUAUAAAUCUUCUCCAGUUUGAGAAGUGAAGUCACUCCUGCACUCUCUACAAACAGAACAGAAGAAUAGUACAUGCAUUGGCAGAUCCUCUAGAUCUGGUGAUGGUUCAUCAGUUGUCCCUUGGCAUCCCUUUGUGUAGUCAUGCACGGCACACAGGACAAUCAGAGACAUGAGGUACAAGACUGAAGAUUAAUUCAGUUGAAUUCUCAUGCAAGACCCUGCUACCUCUUGCAGUAAGUUCUUACACAUAAAUAUAUUCUUAUAAAAUAUUAUGUUGGGGCUUUAUUUUGUUCUGGGGAAAGAGGAAAAGGAUAGUCCCCCAUGAAAAGGGAGGUUAGUAAAACAUCUAAAAGCACUAGAUAUUUUGAAACCCAUCUAUAGACAUACAUCUAUAAACAGACUCUGAAAACUGUUGAGAACAAAAUGUCCUGCUGUGCUUCUGUGCCUGGUGCCCACAGAAAGAGUUCAAUAGAAAUGGUCUGUGUUAAUCUUUUGUGCUUGGAAAUCUGAACUCUGAUGUUCAGCUCCUCAAAACAUACGUGAAACAAGGCGUAUUAGUGAUUCUACCGAGCAGGCAAAAAUCAAAGCCUGAACAACAGAGGAAAAUGUUCUUUCUUUUAAACCACUCUUCAACUUUUCUGGAGAACGUCACUACAGGACUGGCCUAGAAAGAAAAAAGCAGUUGGGGAUUUCAGAGUGCUCAAUGUCCUUGCAGUGUGUAUGAACACUGCCAUUAAAGGCAUGCUGAAAAUAAACUCCUUUGAAAAAAAAGCAUUGUUAGCAAUCAAUAGGAAUUCAUGAGUACAAUAUUUUAUAGAUUUUAUAGAAAUUGAGAUUAGAACAAGUAAAGGUUAUAGAUCUCAUAUGUCUCAUCAGGCUUGAUAGAAUUCAGUUUUCUUCCAGGUUGAAUAAACUUUAUUUAGUACUGUUUCAUUUUAAUCAAAAUUAAAAGACAUAGUGGGCUAGUCUGAAGACAGGUAUGUUCUAACUUAUGCUUCAAAAUAGUUUCUAAGAAAUUGAUUCAAACAUAGAACUGGUUCUCAGUCCAUUUAUGAGAUAAAGAAUGCACUGGUGGACAUUAUACGAUGUCAAACUUAAAGGUAUAACUCAAAAAUAGGAGAUACUGAGUGCAGUACAUUUCUCUUUGUACUGACCAUGUUCUAUCUGUUUUUCCUUUGUAUGUUUUUAUCAUUAUAUCUAUAGCUGUUAAUUUGUGAUGUAUUUCCUGUGCAAAUGUGAAGGGAAAAACACAAGAAUGAGAGCACCUCAUUCAGUGCAAGAUAAUUUUUAAUCUAUUUCGCUUCAUCUUCCUGUUCAUUAGUGGUAAGAAUUGAACUCAGUCUCCAACUCUGGUGUAAAUUUGCAUAUUCAAGUUGGCCAGAAUUUUAUCCCAGAGAGCCUUGAAUUAUAUAGCUGAUUCCAGUAGACAAAUCUACCCUCACAAAUCUGACCAGCUUUGUGCAAGAGUGUGUGUGUGAUUCUGUAGAUAAUUUUUUAAUCUUUGGGUCAUAAAUAGCUUAAUGGAACAUUAUAAUAGUUUGUUUUAUGUAAUUCUAAUACUGCAGCUAUUUUAUGUUGUCGUACUCAGCCUCCAUCCUACUGGGUGGAUAACACAAAUAAGAAAGCAACUUUAGAUGCUUCUUUUUCUCUGAAAUGGGAGGGAUUUCUUCCCCAGCACCUUAAGUCCCUGUCAAUUAAAAACUCUUACAGGGUUUUAACUGAGACUUACAGCACUUUGGAAGGAGCCCUCACUUUUAAAUGGGAUGCCUACCCAUUUGAUCUUUCAGUUUAAAGUUUUUUCUCCUGACCCUGGUUCUAGACAGACAUCCUCUUUCACCUUUGCUCAUGGGCUAAACAAACAUGAUGUUUUCAUUGCUUCUGAGAAGGAAGAGGGCGACAAUGGUAGAAACAGUGCUGUGGCUUCUCACAGGUAAAAGAGAGGGGCUAUGUGACGUUAGGGUAGAGAAUCAGGACAUGGCAGAGAGGAAUUAAGCCCCAAAGGCCUUUAAAAGGUAUUUAAAUAGAACAAUCCUUGCUUCAAUGGGUUUGCAGUGUGAAUUAGUAUGUGAAAAGUGAGCUACUAGUGUUGACAGAGGAAUUCUGGUUGAACUUUUCCUCUUUGUGUAGCAGAACAGAAGGGGGUAAUAAAAACCAACUUUGUGGGGUGGAAUAUAAAAAAUAAUAAAUAGUGCAGGUGAAUGAAUACAUCCUGCUAAUUUUGAGGCAUUUUAGUUUUCUUGUCUUCUAUAUGUGACUGUUACUGUAAGUGGUGUGGAGAGAAAACAGCGGAUGAGAUGGGUAGUUGGUGCUGGUAAAAGGGAUAUUUGCAAUGGGAUUAGGAAGAACAAAUGGUGUUCUUUGGCAUGCUAGAAGGAAUUUAACAUUCUGGGCAGGAGGAAGUAUAGAGAACCAUUAGGAAAAAUGGCUCACAGAUUGUGGGUUCACAGAGAACGACAAACAUGAAAAUAAUCCUAAAGUACAGGAUUUUUCUGAAUGCACGGAAGUGCAUUAAAUGGAAAGAAAUUUUUAAGGAUGAUGUAGUGAG